rnacentral:rRNA from 1 species
GAUGAACGCUAGCGGCAGGCCUAACACAUGCAAGUCGAGGGAGAAGCCCUUUCGGGGGCAGAAACCGGCGCACGGGUGCGUAACGCGUAUGCAACCUACCUUUCACAGGGGGAUAGCCCGAAGAAAUUUGGAUUAAUACCCCAUAAUAUUAUUGGAUGGCAUCAUUUGAUAAUUAAAACUGCGGUGGUGAAAGAUGGGCAUGCGUCCUAUUAGCUAGUUGGAGUGGUAACGGCACCCCAAGGCUACGAUAGGUAGGGGUCCUGAGAGGGAGAUCCCCCACACUGGUACUGAGACAGGGACCAGAAUCCUACGGGAGGGAGCAGUGAGGAAUAUUGGUCAAUGGUCGGAAGACUGAACCAGCCAUGCCGCGUGCAGGAAGAAUGCCUUAUGGGUUGUAAACUGCUUUUAUAUGGGAAGAAUAAGGCGUACGUGUACGUUGAUGACGGUACCAUAUGAAUAAGCAUCGGCUAACUCCGUG